rnacentral:precursor_RNA from 10 species
AACGGCAAAAAUCCGGUCCGGAAUCUCUAAUCGUGCGGAAUCCGGAUACUGUGUACAUUAUAUUUUUUUCGCGCCGUGUCCGAAUUCCGCAUGCGGCAGCGAAAUCCGGACAAAACAGACAAAACG